UUAGGAAUAUUGCACAAUGGGGGAAACCCUGAUGCAGCGAUGCCGCGUGAAGGAAGAAGGGUUUCGGCUCGUAAACUUUUAUCGAUAGUGAAGAAACAAAUGACGGUAACUAAGUAAGAAGCCCCGGCAAACUAUGUGCCAGCAGCCGCGGUAAUACAUAGGGGGCAAGCGUUAUCCGGAUUUACUGGGUGUAAAGGGUGCGUAGGCGGCAUAUCAAGUCAGCUGUGAAAGACCAAUGCUUAACGUUGGGAACGCAACUGAAACUGGUAAGCUAGAGUAAAGGAGAGGUAAGUGGAAUUACUAGUGUAGAGGUGGAAUUCGUAGAUAUUAGUAAGAACACCAGUGGCGAAGGCGACUUACUGGCCUUAUACAGACGCUGAGGCACGAAAGUGUGGGGAGCAAACA
rnacentral:rRNA from 1 species